GACCCUUACAACAACAUGUUCUAAAGUAUCAGUAACAGAAACAAAGCUGAGUGAACAAACCUGUUCUGUAGAAGAGAUUUGGAGGAUUAAAAACGGCAUCCAGCCCUUUACCUCUUUUAUUCUGUUCUUUUAAAUGACACAUUUCUUCUUCCUGGUCUGCGAUCAUUCCUUCAU